CUACGGAGGGUGCAAGCGUUAAUCGGAAUUACUGGGCGUAAAGGGUUCGUAGGCGGUUAUUUAAGUCAGAUGUGAAAGCCCCUGGCUCAACCUGGGAAUUGCAUCUGAUACUGGGUAACUAGAGUUUAAGAGAGGAGUGUGGAAUUUCCGGUGUAGCGGUGAAAUGCAUAGAGAUCAGAAGGAACAUCAGUGGCGAAGGCGGCACUCUGGCUUAAAACUGACGCUGAGGAACGAAAGCGUGGGUAGCAAACAGGAUUAGAAACCCUAGUAGUCC
rnacentral:rRNA from 1 species